rnacentral:rRNA from 1 species
UAGGGAAUCUUCCACAAUGGACGCAAGUCUGAUGGAGCAACGCCGCGUGAGUGAAGAAGGCUUUCGGGUCGUAAAACUCUGUUAUUGAAGAAGAACGUGCGUGACAGUAACUGGUCAUGCAGUGACGGUAUUCAAUCAGAAAGUCACGGCUAACUACGUGCCAGCAGCCGCGGUAAUACGUAGGUGGCAAGCGUUGUCCGGAUUUAUUGGGCGUAAAGCGAGUGCAGGCGGUCUUUUAAGUCUGAUGUGAAAGCCUUCGGCUUAACCGAAGAAGGGCAUCGGAAACUGGGAGACUUGAGUGCAGAAGAGGAGAGUGGAACUCCAUGUGUAGCGGUGAAAUGCGUAGAUAUAUGGAAGAACACCAGUGGCGAAGGCGUCUCUGGUCUGUAACUGACGCUGAGGCUCGAAAGCGUGGGUAGCAAACAGGAUUAGAUACCCUGGUAGU